UUAAGACAUGUUCGCAAUAUUCCUAAGCACAUCCUUGCUUUCUGGUACCACCAGAUGUCCCAAGUUCAUCUUGUAUUUUCUCUGUCCCGGUUCUGGAUUCAGCCAUUUCUCCAAAGAGUCCUGGUUCCCUUUAGUGAAGAAUGGCAUCUAGAAGGUAAGAUUUGGGCACUACGUAUAUUUUUUGCUGUUGGCAUGUUACUGUUCCCAAGCCCUGUCAGUGAACAGGGUUAGAAAAUGUGUGUGGGUACAGGUGUGCACACACACUUACAUCUGUAUUUUCUACAUAAUCUAUAAAUAUUAAAAGACUUGUGUUUGCUCAUCCAUACCUCCAAUUCCAAUCCAACACCACAGGGUCCAUUUUCCCUUUCCAUAUUUGUAGUUCUCUUUUCUGACAGCAAGAAACCUGGCUUCCGAUAUCUUUGAUAUAUUUACUCGUUUGAUCAGUUCCCAUGUAUGUAACCAACCUCCCACCUCUGACAUCACCAUCUUGGCCAUACGAACACCUUAGUCUUGCUUCCCCUGCUCAGGCUCUCAUACUUUGCUUUGUGUGCCAGUCUGGGGAUGGUGAGGAAGUGGAUUCUCCUCCUAUUUCGCCCAGAGGAGAUGGGAACCGUACAUCAAGGGACAGAGGUAAUUCUGCCAUAACAGGAUAAGUGCUCUCCAAAGGAAGGGGGCCUUUUGUGAUGCCAUGAAUUUGCCACAUGAAGUCUGCUUACCUCUCAGUGUCUGUUGGAACAUGGUAAACGGUUUGAAACAGAGCUGAAGAGCAGGAAUAAUGUGGAAGUGGAAAAUCCAGAAAGAAAAUAUGAAGAAAAGCCAUAAGAGGAUGGCAGAAAGGAGAGAAAGGGACAUAGGUGGGAAAACAAAUAUAAGAAAGUUUGAGUGGAGGAGAAAAAGAAGAUAAAAUGACUUCUGUUGACUGACAUCACCCUCCCAAAGCUUCUCCCGAAGGUCUGGCAAAUAUGCUGGUCUCCUACAAGCUCUCAACCAACAACUUUGGUAUGCAUUCAGUUAAGGGAACAGAGAUGAUUCGAAGACGUAAGCAGUGAGUUGCCAUCUCUUGAGGCCACAAAUGCAACAUUCCUGCAGAAACUGCAAGGCACCAGCCUCCUGAAAUUCCCAGGUAUUUCUCCAGGGCCUCCCAAGCAGAUCUAGUCCAACUUCGCAGAGCAUGGGGAUGCUUGCUUACCAGUUGAACUAUCUCAUCACCCACGAGUCAAUUCUGAAGUCUGAAAUAAAUGCCUUUCAGUUUUUGAGAAGGAAAAGAGUUACAACCUUUUAUGGUCAUGAGAAAAUAGUGAAUUCACCGAUCUAAACCAUAUCACUUGUUUUUCCCUCCAGUAGGCCCUCUCUGCAGCAUCGGUCAGUGCUGCCAAACACAGUCGUCUCCACUCCCCUACCUGUCAUCCCACCUCCUCCUCCUUCAAUCUGGUGUCUGCUGUCAGCUCUUUACUGCCUAGUGUCCCACCCAGGGGGGACAGGGACCACCUAUUCCCAAGUCAGAGAACCCUCAAUCCUUCUCUGAAUGACCUCUCUGCUACAUGUCACUGUGGACAGCCCUCCUCUUUUUUGAAAGUUCAUCCCCCUGCUUAAAAUUCUUCCACAAGCCCACCAAGUCUAAACACCUGGCUCUCCCUCGACCUCAUUUCUACUCUACUGUUUUUGGGGCCUCACCUCCAGCCACACCUCAUCUGGAACUUUAAAAUCUCCGAGGAAUUCUGUCCUCUGCACCUUUGCCCCUUCUUGUCUCACUCUUAGAAUGUGCUCCUCCCCCUGGGUAACGCCUAUUUAUCCUUUAAGAUUCAUCUCAGUAACUAAUCUUUCUGAGAAUUAUUAGGCAAUAAUAACUACUUUCUUUUUAACUUUUUUUUAAAUUACGAAAUAAUCUUAGAGAAGUGCAUAAAACAUGGAUGUGCAGCUCAAAGGAUGGUUGCAAAAUGAGAACCCUGUGACUUCUACCCAAGCUGGAAAUAGAACAUGGCCCACUCCCUCCCGAGAGCCCCCGCAGUGCUUCUUCUCAAUCAUAAACCCCUUCUUAGGCUCAGCGGGUAACCCUACACAGCCUGUAUAGUGUUCACGUCCUUGCUUUUUUCUCUAUGAUUUUGCCACCUAAAUAUGCAUCCUUAAAACCUAGAGUUUACUUUUGCUGCCUAUAUUUGAACUUUAUGUUAAUGAAAUUGUACAUUAAAUAUUUUGUUCUGCCUGGCUUAUUUUGCUCAAUAUUUUAUCUUUAACAUGUUUUUCAUAGUUGUCAUCUUUAUUUUUAUUAUUGUGUAAUAUCUUGUUGUAUAAAUAUACCAAAAUGUGUCCAUUUUAUUUUCGAUAGGCAUGGGAGCUCUUUCCAAUUCUUGGCUAUUAUGAACAUUCUGGUGAAAAUGCUUGCACAUGUCACUUGGUGCCUAUAUGCAUGUAUUUCUGUAGGGUAUAUAUCCAAGAGUGAAAUUGCUGCAUCUUGGGGUAUGCUUAGCUUCAGUUUUACAAGAUAAUAUCAAAAAUGUUUUCAAAAUGGUAAUCACAGACCCUAAGAUUUGAUGUAAUAACAAUCUUUCUUGAAAAGAAUAUCUGUACUUGAGAUUUAUGACAAACAAAAACAGACCAAAAAAAACGUAUGCACACAACAAAACAAUAGUAGCAAGAGCCCAGGGGGCGAGAGAGUGAGUAUUGAUAGAGAUCAGCAGUAAGGAUGAGGAACCACAGCUGAGGGGGUCUGGCCCUCAUGGGAAAGGAAAGGUGCUGGACCGGGGAUACCGGUAUAAAUGGCUUCCCAUGUGGAGUUGUAUGGCUUCCCGUUGUGAACACUGGAAAAGAGCUUUCCUUCUUUCUCCUGAGAAUGUGUUGGAUGUUGUUUCAGUGACUUCCACGAACACCCGUGGUAGCUGUGGAACUGACCAGGCUGCUCCUGGGGCCAGCCCUCCUUACCAUCUGCCCCAGGCCCCACUGGCUUCCACCUCUCAGACUCAACAGUUCUCCUCCACUCCUGGCCUGCCAGUGGCUAUUGUGAGUCUCUCGCGGUCUUGGCCCUUCCAGCCAAGAAGAGCUGCAGUAGCCUUAUGUCGUCAGUGCCUGUGUGGAAUGUGGAACGUUCUCUUUCCAGCUCUUUCACUUCUCACCCAAGAGCAAACAUGGGGGUGGGGGGUAUGAGGGAGGCAGGUGAAGAUAGUACAUCUGGGGAUUAUCCUGAAGCAGAGGCUGAGGUUCAGGGGAAGUUGGAACCAUGUCUGAGUCUUCUUUGGGUCCCACCUUCCCCCCGCCCCACUCCAGUGCCUGGCAGAGUUCCUCAUACACCUGAGUAUCUAACCUGCCACUUAUCCAAACAACAACUGUAUAGCAGUGGGGAACAAAGGAGGUAUCUGUUCUUGGACCUCUAUCCUACCAUCUGCCAAAAAAUGUCAGAAUGACCAUAUAUAUCUACAAUGACUGUGAGAAUGGCACCCCUGCAGUUGUGCAGAGCAUGGUUUUCUCACCCUAAGGUGUAGUCUGUUUGCUGGAUAAAUAAAAUCCAAUGCUUGUAGUCAAAUCUCAUGUUUACCAAUAAUCCCACUCUCUUAAAAUGGGUUUACCAGAAGUGCUAACGAGGAACAAAUAUUUAAAUGAAGAUCCACCAAAUAGUUAUUUCAGUUCAGGUCAGCCAGAAACUGCCAGCAAAUGUGUAUUGAUUGAUUUGAUAAAACAGCCCGUAAUAGAUUUGAAUUUUGCCAUAGCUUAAUGAUUUUUUCCUUAUGGAACUAGAAAGCUGCCUGUUUGCAGAGUACAGCAAUUUAUCCUUCUGGUUGAUCGUGGUGAGGGGCUAAAAAGAGAGGACCGGCGUGUUGAUUAUGAAUCUGAGUCCAUGGUAAGUGUCACUGCGCAGGGUCAUGCAGAGGUGUUUGGCUGAGAAAGGCACCAAAAGCACUGCUGGAUCCAGUGGAAGGCAGCUUUUUCUAAUUUGUCUGUCCACUGGGGAUGUCUUUUUCUAAUUCUCACAAGGACUAGUUCUGUGCAAGAUAUUAAAACUGUUUCCACAAAGCCGAGCCUAGUAACGGCAGUUUUCUGAAACUAGCAUCUCUCGUGCAAUCAUCCACAAAGCCAAACAUCUCGACUUAUCUGAUCAUUACAUCUUUCUUUUUAUGUUAAAUUAUUUAUAACCUUAUAGGUCAGUGAAACCUCUGCAUUCUAAGCUCAGCACGGUGACUUUGUGAGCUGGAUAAUAUUCUCUAUUUGCUCCUCCAGGUUGCUCUUUUGAACUCUCUGUGUCCAGGAGACUGACCCAUGGGAGUGGCAUCAAACAGGCUCCCUUGGCCCUGGCUUCCAUCUGGGUUCCAAUCUGAGGCACCUCAGACAACUGAUGGGCUGGAGGGAAAAACAAAUAAAGUUUAUUGCCCAUUCUUUCUCCCUAUGGGUCACAGAUUGGCUGUGUUCCAGUCAUGGGCUGAAAUUGACCCCUCUAAAUUCAUAUAUUGAAUUCCUGAUCCCCAGUACCUCAGCAUGUGAUUGUAUUUGGAAAUAGGGCCUUUAAAGAGAUAAUUCAGUUAAAAUGAGGCCGUUAGGGUAGACCCUAAUCGAAUAUGACUUGUGUCCUUUAUAAGAAGAGAAAAUUUAGACAAAGAUACAUGUAUAAAGAGAAGACUAUGCGAAGACACAGGGAAAAGAGAGCCAUUUACAAGCCAAGCAGAGAAACUUCAGAAGAAACCAGAACCUUGUUUUGGGCUUCUAGCCUCUAGAAUUGUGAGAAAAUAAAUUUCUGUUGUUUGAGUCGCCCAGUCAUGGUAGUUAGUUAGGGCAUUCUGAGCAAAGUAACAGUCUCUCUAUGAAAACUCACAGGUGCAGACUAUGCUCCCCUUCUUAGAGCCACUGUUCUCUCCCUGGAGUCGGGUCACUUCUCCCCCGACCCCCACCUCCAAUCCCUUGACCUCAGGCUUAGGGAAGGGCUCCCUGCUAUUGCUGCCCUAUCAAGAGUGGUUUCCUUUUGCUAAUGGCCUUUAUUAAACUCUCUUCAGUUACCCCAUUUGAGUGCAUCAGUAGUUACUUGCAGUAACAGACCAUUCCACUUGUUUCCCUCACGAUUUGCCUGAGUCAUUUCUAAAAUUUAAUCCUACCUAGCGGAAACAAAACAGAAUGGUACACUGGGCAGGAUGAAUCUUUCUACCAUCUUAUUGUGUAAAAAACACUUUUCUGAAAUUCCCUAGGGUGACAAGAGGCUGUUUGAAUAUGCAACCUAUCUGUGAGUUCUGUACAAAUAGAGACACCGAAUCUGUCUGGCCAAGUGUCCUGUAACGCUGAGAUCGUACUAAUGAGUGAGAAAGCGACUGCUUUAAAAAGAAACUAAUGCUGUGGAGAGAACACUUUGCCAGUGGAAAUUUAGAAUUCUUUCCAUCAUUGUAUGAAUUUGUUUUCUCUGUUAAAAAUUGUGAUAUGUAUACAUUUUUAUAACUGGGAAGUGGGAUUUUUCUAAAUUAUUUUAAAGUCUUGUAAAUGUAUCAUGUCAGACAACUUCGAACAUUAUUUGUCUAUCUACCUGUCCAUCUACCUAUAUAUCUGUAAAAACAGUGCAUCAACCAGGCUUCCUUGCCUUUUGACUUUCUCUGGGUUUGACCAAUAGGAAGCACUUUUUGAUUAGAUUAUAAGAACACUUGAUUGAUGCUAAAGAAGAUGGAAAUUAUUAGUAAACUUUCAACAGAAUCUUUUCAUAGCUGGUAGAUAUGGUCAAAAACAUGAGUCACAGUAGAGUAGAGACAAUGCCCCUCUCGUAUUAUCUUUGCCAACAUUAUUUUUAGCCAUGAUAGUCACUAAAACUAGUUAUAAAAAUAAACUGUGCUUAGAAUCAGACUUUUGAAUUAUAUCACAAAGUGGUAAAGCAAGAUUUUCAAGUGAAGCACAUUUAAUUUAGUCACAUAUAAAUAUAAAAUGAGCAUUCAACAUUAAUAUCAGAGUAAAGCAAAAAGGAUUUUGUGUAUCAUUGAGAAAAUAAACGUCUUAAUAUUUUUUCAUCUUUUAAAAUUUUAUCUUUGUUUUUAACUAACAAUGUGUAAGUUCAACAUGUAUAUUUGUAAAUAAAUAACAAGUAUUGGAAAUAUCUGCUUAAAAUCUUUUACUGAUUUUGGUGAGCCAUCUGAAAAGCCUGGAGACCACUGACCAUCAAAGCAUAAGGGCUGCAAAAAAAAAAUAUCCACUGUACCCAGAAUCUUAGAACUUUAGAGUCAUAAUUCUAUCUUGUUCAAACUGGCUUCAAAGAAAACAAAGGAGAAAGCAUGAAAGAAUGCUGUGAGCCCGCCCGCACAGCCUUCCCGCUUAAGCCAGUAGAGUAUGCUCAUUUGGUUGGGCCGCUACCUCUGAAAACGUUUUGGAAAUAUUUGGAAUGUAAUGGGAGGCCCAAGGGACCACCCAGAAGUAAAAGCCCAAAGGAAAGUCUUCCAAGAACAACAGGGGGCAAAAAGAAGGUCGACUCCUCCCCAGUUGCACUUCCUGGUCAGGGCUGGGCUCGACGGGUUCAGCCAUCUUGUCCAAAUCUGCUUGCGCCUUACAUGCAUUCCUGAGUGUCACAGGGUACAGGCCUUGGAAAUCAUGUUAUCACAGUGUGUAAUGUUUGGAGGUGACAGAAAACACUCUAGUCACGUCAGAGAGAAUAGUUAUUUAGACUAGUGAGGAGAAAAUGCCCUAAAGCUCAACUCAGUAUGCCUUCUCUCUAAUGCCGCCAGCAAAACAAGAACUCAGCUCCAGGCAGAGCUCUAGACGAUAUGCAUAUUUAUUGUUUGGCCUUUCAGACAAAAGGCUAUAAAAAUACAUUGGUGAAGUGGAAACUGCAGUAUGAAUUUUGAAAUCAAAGCUGCUUCUUCCAAUCUGUUUUCUGUUGUUUUUUCAGGAUUCCUCCCUGAUUAAAAUUAAAAUCUGGUCACAAAACAGGGGACCUGGAGAGGCGUUCACUUCUCUACAUCUCCACAGAUGCAUCCUGCUGCUUCCAGCUUUUCUCCUUUGUCAAAAACCAAAAUUCAACUGAUUAAAUUUGAAGACCUAAUUGGCUUUAGCAGAGUGAAUCCAUAUUACCUCUUCAGUUCUGAAAGAUGCACCAGAACAGCUUCAUCUCCCUACAGAAGCCUGUAGAGGAGAGUAUUUGAGUACCUGAAGAAGCCAGCCUUCUUUGCAGUAAUCUUAAAGGAAUCAUUGGCUGAUGUUAACAAGACAUCCUUUCUGCUACCCAUAUUCAGAAUCGUUUCUUCGUGAAGUAAAUACUGGUGAUUUGUUGUUGCUUUGUUCUUUAUGUCCAUUAAAUAGUGAUCUGAUUAAAAAUUAAUGGGAUUUUGUAAUCUAA